UAGUCUUGAGUGGUAGUAGAUUGAACUUUGAUAUACUAGGGCUGGCAGAGUUUGGGGAUAGUGGCCUAGCCCCACCAUACCAGUGAUAAAUCAAUCCUUGUCUUCAGUCACCCUUUGGGGGACUGAUGGAGGACCAAUAACAUGCCUUAUUUCCUUCCUGGGAAGUGCCAGACAGGAUCUCCUAGUACCUAUUGUGGAUAACUGGGGUUCGUCGACUGCUCCUCACCCCUUGUAUGUCUUAUAGAAGAAUGAUAUAGGGUGAAGUUAGAAUUUUAGGUCUUCUAAGGUUAGAAGUGGCUCUUGAUACCUGCCUGCCCACAAGCCAUACCAAAUAAUUGCUAGCACCCUCAAAAAUCUGUUUUGGAAACUCAUUUCUUUUGGCCCCUAUACCCUUAGAGCUCUGUCCCUAAGCCUAUGACGUCACCUCAGUAGUCUAUACACUUGUGUGUACACGACUGUGCAUCUGACAUCUGCCUGAUCUUUGCCUGGAUGCAUUUUAAGCACUCAGGUAUUUUUAGUUGUCUAGAUAGUGGUGUGUGUUUACCUAUGACUGUUUUUACUACCUACUAAUAGAUCUUUUACAGACCUUUGUCUCUAAAGAGUUCACAGCCCUUUGCUCAUUGUCUGGUUUCAUGAACAAAGACUUACAGAGAAGAGAGCAGGCCAUGCAAUCUCCCCUUCAGGCUGAGAAAAGCAGCGUGGAGAAGCGGCGUGUGGGAGUAUGGCUCUGUGCUGAAUGGAGAAGAGAGAGCAAUCUCCUAGCUGAAGGAAUAUUCAAGGCCUUUGCCCUGCUCCCCUGUUCUAAGCCCAGGACUUUUCUGCCUAGCUCUUUAGGGAGUGGGGUUAGAGCAGAAUGUUGAAGCAGACCGAUCCUCCCAUUUGCAUUAUCCCCCAUCUGCAUCAUCCCCCUGCAUUGGGCCUCUCAGGGAUGAGGCUCCAUGGUGACCAUCUGCUGUUGUCCUCCCUGCCCUGUUCUGGGGAGGGCUGAGAAUGGGGCCUGUCCCCUUUCAGCAAUGCAGCUUUAGGGCCUGAUGGGGUGGAGGGCACGCCAUCCUUGGCCCGUUGCCGGGGUGACCGAGCUAUGGGCAUUGUGAGCAACUCCUCUGACAGGAUUAGGGCUAUUCCGCAUUCUUGUCAGAUGGGGAGCACAAACCGAAAAGAGCCUGCUGUCCAGAGAGCUGAAGCUAUUGUCUACCUCCGGAGCCUGUGAAAGGGUGGAUUAGAGGCCCCACCCCUUGAGCGGGGGUUUCCUUUCUGUCUCCUUUUGAAUCCAGAGGGGAGGCCAGCCCUCCUGGGAAAUUGAAUGAGGAGCUGUUUACCUCAGGCUGGGCCUUCAUAUUUCUUAUUACUUGUCUGAAGAGGAAGUCCUGUGUUUACCAUUCUGUUGGUGUCCAUGGCCAGAACUUGCCAGGAACUGACUGACCUGGGACACCCAAUCUUCACCUGAGGGCCACUGGCUUCUGUACAGCUCACUUCACAGACCAGACCAGAAAAGGCCCCCCCCCCCAGACUACUUAGUUCAAUCUGUUUAUUUCACGGAAAGGCAGCUGAGGCACUGAGAAGGGUAGGACUUACCCACAACCACUGGGAUAGAACCGGAGAACCAGGCGUUGUGGGUCCUGGCUCUAUGGUUUCCAUUCUCUCCAUUCUAGAGAAAGCCAUGGACCAGAAAGACGGACACUCUUAAGUGUAGCUCCUCUGUUUCCUCUGUACCCACCCUUCCUGAGCCCGAUACACACCAGCUAGGGGUCUUAAUCCUUUUCCACCUUUAAGACCCUUUAAGUCUGUAAUCCCCAGAGGACUGUCUGUCUACAUGUUUGCUUGUUGUUGGACAUUCCUUACCUGGACUUUGAAGAUUGCUCACUGGAGGGUGGUUUUUGUUUUUGUUUUUGUUUUGUUUUGAUGAUCUUUUUUCUUAUGGCAAAUAACUUGCCAGCAGUUUAAACAGAUCCACAUUGUUGUAAAUCAUUCUAAUACAAAAUAAAAUGCUUUUAUUUGUUGUGUAUGUCUGUCUUCUCGGGAUGUAUGUUUGUACAUUUGCUCAGGGCGUCUGGUCCCUUGGAACUGGAGUUACAGACAGUUUUAAGCUACCAUGUGGGUGCUGGGACCCAAACUCAGGUACUUUGGAAGAACAGCCAGUGCUCUUAACUGCUGAGACUUCUCUUUUUCAGCCCUCUAAAACCGUUUUAUCAUCCCAAGUAGAAGUGCUGUACCCAUUAAAUAACAACACCCCCAUGCCAUCUUUUGCCCUAUACCCCUGGUAACUUUUGAUCUAUUUUCUAUAGAGUUGUUUAUUUUAGUUCCUCAUAAAAGGGGGUGACAUAACAUCUGUCACUCUGUGACUAGCUUAUUUCACUGAGUAUGUUUUCAUGGUUUAGCCAUGUUAUAGUAGGUAUCAGAAUUCCAUUCCUUUUCUGACAGAUUGAUACCAAAUUUGUCUAUCUAUCACCUGUUGGUAGGCAUUUGGGUUGCUUUAAUGUUUGAUGAGUGAGUGGUUGUUUAUUGCAAAUUGUCGUUUGGGACAGAAGAACUAAACUCAAUCAGCUUGCCAGCUGUGCUAGUCAUUGACAAUGACUUUAAGGAAAGCAUUUAGUCUGCUGUGUUUCCAGUUUCUUUACCAGUGGCUGAGGGUGAGGAUACUUUCUUCUUCUCUUUCCAGAGCCCUUGUGAGGACCAGUAUAUUUAAUCAUAUAGUAAAUUGCUAUUCCCUGACUAAUGUGUGCCAGGUCCUCUACCUGGCAUCGACUGCUGAGCAGAUCGUCCUGAGCAAGUCAUCCCAGGUCCUUGUCCUUGGGGUGCACAUUGUCCUUGGGAUGCCCUGUGCAUAUUUGAUUUGUAAAUCCUGAAGCAUCUAGCCUCACACAGGUGCAGGCUGUUACGUUUCUUGUUCAUCUGUAGACUUUAAAAACGAGGUCAUUAGUCAUUGCUGCUUUGACUGCACUGGACUCAGGUGACAACCUUUGCUUGACAAGGUGAUCUUCAAAUUGCUGCCACCUGCCCUGGUGAAGGUGGGUGUCUUCUCUUAGUGCCUGCUGUAUUGCAGCUGCAGGCAGAGUUCCAGGACCAGGGCUCAUGGAGCAUCCUCAGAGAUGCCUCUACCUUGCUAGACCUUUCUCCUUAAUCUCCUGCAUCCUCUGUUCCCAGGUGGCCAUCAAGUCCAUCAGGAAAGACAAAAUCAAAGAUGAGCAGGAUCUGCUGCACAUACGGAGGGAGAUUGAGAUCAUGUCUUCACUCAACCACCCCCACAUCAUUGCCAUCCAUGAAGGUACAGUAGUGGAACACUUGGAGCUGGGAAACAGGCAGGACUCUGGGAGUGAGGGGGUGCACACAAGUCAGAUCUGCCAACACAAAGAAGUAGCAUGUGCCCAAUAGUGAUGCCUGUAACCCCAGCUCUAGGCUGCCUAAGAUAAGAGGAAUAUAAAUUUGAGAUCAUACAAAGGUGCAUAACAGGACCCCACCUUUUAAUAAAUACAUAACUUAAACAAAGCAAGUUCUCUU
rnacentral:lncRNA from 1 species